rnacentral:pre_miRNA from 15 species
AUGGCCCUCUUUGUAGUCUUCCACAGCUUUCUUGAACUGCAGUCAUCAUCCUUUGGAAGUGGGCAUAUACCUCAGUUGCAGUUCAAUAAAGCUGUGGGAAACUACAGAGAGUGACCAA